rnacentral:rRNA from 1 species
CUUCUGCCUAACACGAUUC